UUAAGCGACUAAGCGUACACGGUGGAUGCCCUGGCAGUCAGAGGCGAUGAAGGACGUGCUAAUCUGCGAAAAGCGUCGGUAAGGUGAUAUGAACCGUUACAGCCGGCGAUGUCCGAAUGGGGAAACCCAGUGCAAUUCGUUGCACUAUCGUUAACUGAAUACAUAGGUUAACGAGGCGAACCGGGGGAACUGAAACAUCUAAGUACCCCGAGGAAAAGAAAUCAACCGAGAUUCCCCCAGUAGCGGCGAGCGAACGGGGAGCAGCCCAGAGUCUGAAUCAGCUUGUGUGUUAGUGGAACGGUCUGGAAAGUCCGACGGUACAGGGUGAUAGUCCCGUACACCAAAAUGCACAGGCUGUGAACUCGAAGAGUAGGGCGGGACACGUGGUAUCCUGUCUGAAUAUGGGGGACCAUCCUCCAAGGCUAAAUACUCCUGACUGACCGAUAGUGAACCAGUACCGUGAGGGAAAGGCGAAAAGAACCCCGGCGAGGGGAGUGAAAAAGAACCUGAAACCGUGUACGUACAAGCAGUGGGAGCACCUUCGGGUGUGACUGCGUACCUUUUGUAUAAUGGGUCAGCGACUUAUAUUCUGUAGCAAGGUUAACCGUAUAGGGGAGCCGCAGGGAAACCGAGUCUUAACUGGGCGUUAAGUUGCAGGGUAUAGACCCGAAACCCGGUGAUCUAGCCAUGGGCAGGUUGAAGGUUGGGUAACACUAACUGGAGGACCGAACCGACUAAUGUUGAAAAAUUAGCGGAUGACUUGUGGCUGGGGGUGAAAGGCCAAUCAAACCGGGAGAUAGCUGGUUCUCCCCGAAAGCUAUUUAGGUAGCGCCUCGUGAACUCAUCUUCGGGGGUAGAGCACUGUUUCGGCUAGGGGGUCAUCCCGACUUACCAACCCGAUGCAAACUACGAAUACCGAAGAAUGUUAUCACGGGAGACACACGGCGGGUGCUAACGUCCGUCGUGAAGAGGGAAACAACCCAGACCGCCAGCUAAGGUCCCAAAGUCAUGGUUAAGUGGGAAACGAUGUGGGAAGGCACAGACAGCCAGGAUGUUGGCUUAGAAGCAGCCAUCAUUUAAAGAAAGCGUAAUAGCUCACUGGUCGAGUCGGCCUGCGCGGAAGAUGUAACGGGGCUAAACCAUGCACCGAAGCUGCGGCAGCGACACUAUGUGUUGUUGGGUAGGGGAGCGUUCUGUAAGCCUGCGAAGGUGUGCUGUGAGGCAUGCUGGAGGUAUCAGAAGUGCGAAUGCUGACAUAAGUAACGAUAAAGCGGGUGAAAAGCCCGCUCGCCGGAAGACCAAGGGUUCCUGUCCAACGUUAAUCGGGGCAGGGUGAGUCGACCCCUAAGGCGAGGCCGAAAGGCGUAGUCGAUGGGAAACAGGUUAAUAUUCCUGUACUUGGUGUUACUGCGAAGGGGGGACGGAGAAGGCUAUGUUAGCCGGGCGACGGUUGUCCCGGUUUAAGCAUGUAGGCUGGUUGUCCAGGCAAAUCCGGAUAAUCAAGGCUGAGGUGUGAUGACGAGGCACUACGGUGCUGAAGUAACAAAUGCCCUGCUUCCAGGAAAAGCCUCUAAGCAUCAGGUAACAUUAAAUCGUACCCCAAACCGACACAGGUGGUCAGGUAGAGAAUACCAAGGCGCUUGAGAGAACUCGGGUGAAGGAACUAGGCAAAAUGGUGCCGUAACUUCGGGAGAAGGCACGCUGGUGUGUAGGUGAAGUCCCUGCGGAUGGAGCUGAGACCAGUCGAAGAUACCAGCUGGCUGCAACUGUUUAUUAAAAACACAGCACUGUGCAAACACGAAAGUGGACGUAUACGGUGUGACGCCUGCCCGGUGCCGGAAGGUUAAUUGAUGGGGUUAUCCGUAAGGAGAAGCUCUUGAUCGAAGCCCCGGUAAACGGCGGCCGUAACUAUAACGGUCCUAAGGUAGCGAAAUUCCUUGUCGGGUAAGUUCCGACCUGCACGAAUGGCGUAAUGAUGGCCAGGCUGUCUCCACCCGAGACUCAGUGAAAUUGAACUCGCUGUGAAGAUGCAGUGUACCCGCGGCAAGACGGAAAGACCCCGUGAACCUUUACUAUAGCUUGACACUGAACAUUGAGCCUUGAUGUGUAGGAUAGGUGGGAGGCUUUGAAGCGUGGACGCCAGUCUGCGUGGAGCCAACCUUGAAAUACCACCCUUUAAUGUUUGAUGUUCUAACGUUGGCCCCUUACCGGGGUUGCGGACAGUGUCUGGUGGGUAGUUUGACUGGGGCGGUCUCCUCCCAAAGCGUAACGGAGGAGCACGAAGGUUAGCUAAUCCUGGUCGGACAUCAGGAGGUUAGUGCAAUGGCAUAAGCUAGCUUGACUGCGAGCGUGACGGCGCGAGCAGGUGCGAAAGCAGGUCAUAGUGAUCCGGUGGUUCUGAAUGGAAGGGCCAUCGCUCAACGGAUAAAAGGUACUCCGGGGAUAACAGGCUGAUACCGCCCAAGAGUUCAUAUCGACGGCGGUGUUUGGCACCUCGAUGUCGGCUCAUCACAUCCUGGGGCUGAAGUAGGUCCCAAGGGUAUGGCUGUUCGCCAUUUAAAGUGGUACGCGAGCUGGGUUUAGAACGUCGUGAGACAGUUCGGUCCCUAUCUGCCGUGGGCGCUGGAGAAUUGAGGGGGGCUGCUCCUAGUACGAGAGGACCGGAGUGGACGCAUCACUGGUGUUCGGGUUGUCAUGCCAAUGGCACUGCCCGGUAGCUAAAUGCGGAAGAGAUAAGUGCUGAAAGCAUCUAAGCACGAAACUUGCCCCGAGAUGAGUUCUCCCUGAGACUUUAAGUCUCCUGAAGGAACGUUAAAGACGAUGACGUUGAUAGGCCGGGUGUGUAAGCGCAGCGAUGCGUUGAGCUAACCGGUACUAAUGAACCGUGAGGCUUAACCUU
rnacentral:rRNA from 1 species